rnacentral:rRNA from 1 species
UACGAAGGGUGCAAACGUUGCUCGGAAUCAUUGGGCGUAAAGCGCACGUAGGCGGCCUCAUAAGUCGGAUGUGAAAUCCCUCGGCUCAACCGAGGAAGUGCAUCCGAAACUGCGAGGCUCGAGUAUGGAAGAGGGUCGCAGAAUUCCUGGUGUAGCGGUGAAAUGCGCAGAUAUCAGGAGGAACACCAAUGGCGAAGGCAGCACUCUGGGACGUGACUGACGCUGAGACGCGAAAGCGUGGGGAGCAAACAGG